AGAGUUUGAUCCUGGCUCAGGACGAACGCUGGCGGCACGCCUAACACAUGCAAGUUGAACGGAGAUGAUUUGAGUUUACUUAGAUCAUCUUAGUGGCGGACGGGUGAGUAACACGUGAGCAACCUGCCUUUGAGAGAGGGAUAGCUUCUGGAAACGGAUGGUAAUACCUCAUAACAUACAGAUACCGCAUGGUGACUGUAUCAAAGAUUUAUCACUCAAAGAUGGGCUCGCGUCUGAUUAGAUAGUUGGUGAGGUAACGGCUCACCAAGUCGACGAUCAGUAGCCGGACCGAGAGGUUGAACGGCCACAUUGGGACUGAGACACGGCCCAGACUCCUACGGGAGGCAGCAGUGGGGAAUAUUGCACAAUGGGGGAAACCCUGAUGCAGCGAUGCCGCGUGGAGGAAGAAGGUUUUCGGAUUGUAAACUCCUGUCUUAAAGGACGAUAAUGACGGUACUUUAGGAGGAAGCUCCGGCUAACUACGUGCCAGCAGCCGCGGUAAUACGUAGGGAGCGAGCGUUGUCCGGAAUUACUGGGUGUAAAGGGAGCGUAGGCGGGACGGCAAGUCAGAUGUGAAAUACAUGGGCUCAACCCAUGGGCUGCAUUUGAAACUGCUGUUCUUGAGUGAAGUAGAGGUAAGCGGAAUUCCUGGUGUAGCGGUGAAAUGCGUAGAUAUCAGGAGGAACACCGGUGGCGAAGGCGGCUUACUGGGCUUUACUGACGCUGAGGCUCGAAAGCGUGGGGAGCAAACGGGAUUAGAUACCCUGGUAGUCCACGCUGUAAACGAUGAUUACUAGGUGUGGGGGGACUGACCCCUUCCGUGCCGCAGUUAACACAAUAAGUAAUCCACCUGGGGAGUACGGCCGCAAGGUUGAAACUCAAAGGAAUUGACGGGGGCCCGCACAAGCAGUGGAGUAUGUGGCUUAAUUCGAAGCAACGCGAAGAACCUUACCAGGUCUUGACAUCGAGUGCAUAACUAAGAGAUUAGUGAAAUCCCUUCGGGGACACUUAGACAGGUGGUGCAUGGUUGUCGUCAGCUCGUGUCGUGAGAUGUUGGGUUAAGUCCCGCAACGAGCGCAACCCUUACCUUUAGUUGCUACGCAAGAGCACUCUAAAGGGACUGCCGUUGACAAAACGGAGGAAGGUGGGGAUGACGUCAAAUCAUCAUGCCCCUUAUGACCUGGGCUACACACGUACUACAGUGGCAAUCAACAAAGAGAAGCAAGACAGUGAUGU
rnacentral:rRNA from 1 species